UAGCAAUACGUGGCAUACGGCUCAGUAACACGUAGUCAACAUGCCCAGGGGACGUGGAUAACCUCGGGAAACUGAGGAUAAACCGCGAUAGGUCAUAAUAUCUGGAAUGAUUUCUGGCUUAAAUCUAUAUGGCCCCUGGAUUGGACUGCGGCCGAUCAGGCUGUUGGUGAGGUAAUGGCCCACCAAACCUAAAACCGGUACGGGCUCUGAGAGGAGAAGCCCGGAGAUGGGCACUGAGACAAGGGCCCAGGCCCUAUGGGGCGCAGCAGGCGCGAAAACUCUGCAAUAAGCGAAAGCUUGACAGGGUUAUUCUGAGUGAUUUCCGCUAAGGAAAUCUUUUGGCACCUCUAAAAAUGGUGCAGAAUAAGGGGUGGGCAAGCCUGGUGUCAGCCGCCGCGGUAAUACCAGCACCCCGAGUGGUCGGGACGAUUAUUGGGCCUAAAGCAUCCGUAGCCGGUUCUACAAGUCUUCCGUUAAAUCCACCUGCUUAACAGAUGGGCUGCGGAGGAUACUAUGGAGCUAGGAGGCGGGAGAGGCAAGCGGUACUUAGUGGGUAGGGGUAAAAUCCGUUGAUCCAUUGAAGACCACCAGUGGCGAAGGCGGCUUGCCAGAACGCACUCGACGGUGAGGGAUGAAAGCUGGGGGA
rnacentral:rRNA from 1 species